GCCAGGUGUAGUGGUGCACACCUGUAAUCCCAGCAACUCAGGGGGCUGAGGCAGGGGGAUUACAAGUUCAAGGCCAGUCUCAGCAAUUUAGCAAGACCCUCAGCAAUUGAGUUACCUAUCUCAA
rnacentral:sRNA from 1 species